rnacentral:rRNA from 1 species
CCUACGGGAGGCAGCAGUGGGGAAUAUUGCACAAUGGGCGCAAGCCUGAUGCAGCCAUGCCGCGUGUAUGAAGAAGGCCUUCGGGUUGUAAAGUACUUUCAGCGGGGAGGAAGGUGAUAAGGUUAAUAACCGCAGCAAUUGACGUUACCCGCAGAAGAAGCACCGGCUAACUCCGUGCCAGCAGCCGCGGUAAU